rnacentral:rRNA from 1 species
AUACGUAGGGGGCGAGCGUUGUCCGGAAUGAUUGGGCGUAAAGGGCGCGUAGGCGGCCUGUUAAGUCUGGAGUGAAAGUCCUGUUUUCAAGAUGGGAAUUGCUUUGGAUACUGAUGGGCUUGAGUGCAGGAGAGGUUAUCGGAAUUCCCAGUGUAGCGGUGAAAUGCGUAGAGAUCGGGAGGAACACCAGUGGCGAAGGCGGGUAACUGGACUGCAACUGACGCUGAGGCGCGAAAGUGUGGGGAGCAAACAGGAUUAGAUACCCUGGUAGUCCACACUGUAAACGAUGAAUGCUAGGUGUAAGAGGUAUCGACCCCUUUUGUGCCGGAGUUAACACAAUAAGCAUUCCGCCUGGGGAGUACGGCCGCAAGGUUGAAACUCAAAGGAAUUGGCGGGG